rnacentral:rRNA from 1 species
AAUGGGCGAAAGCCUGAUGCAGCGACGCCGCGUGAACGAAGAAGUAUUUCGGUAUGUAAAGCUCUAUCAGCAGGGAAGAUAAUGACGGUACCUGACUAAGAAGCACCGGCUAAAUACGUGCCAGCAGCCGCGGUAAUACGUAUGGUGCAAGCGUUAUCCGGAUUUACUGGGUGUAAAGGGAGCGCAGGCGGUGCGGCAAGUCUGAUGUGAAAGCCCGGGGCUCAACCUCGGUACUGCAUUGGAAACUGUCGUACUAGAGUGUCGGAGGGGUAAGCGGAAUUCCUAGUGUAGCGGUGAAAUGCGUAGAUAUUAGGAGGAACACCAGUGGCGAAGGCGGCUUACUGGACGAUAACUGACGCUGAGGCUCGAAAGCGUGGGGAGCAAA